rnacentral:snRNA from 1 species
GUGCUCGCUUCGGCAGCACAUGUAUUAAAACUAGAAAGAUACAGAGAAGAUUAGCAUGGUCCCUGCACAAGGAUGACAUGCAAAUUUGUGAAGAGUUCCAUAUUUUU